GACGAACGCUGGCGGCGUGCUUAACACAUGCAAGUCGAACGGAAAGGCCCUGCUUUUGUGGGGUGCUCGAGUGGCGAACGGGUGAGUAACACGUGAGUAACCUGCCCUUGACUUUGGGUUAACUUCAGGAAACUGGGGCUAAUACCGGAUAGGAGCUCCUGCUGCAUGGUGGGGGUUGGAAAGUUUCGGCGGUUGGGGAUGGACUCGCGGCUUAUCAGCUUGUUGGUGGGGUAGUGGCAUACCAAGGAUUUGACGGGUAGCCGGCCUGCGAGGGUGACCGGCCACAUUGGGACUGAGAUACGGCCCAGACUCCUACGGGAGGCAGCAGUGGGGAAUAGUGCACAAUGGGCGGAAGCCUGAUGCAGCAACGCCGCGUGCGGGAUGACGGCCUGCGGGUUGUAAACCGCUUUCGCCUGUGACGAAGCGUGAGUGACGGUAAUGGGUAAAGAAGCACCGGCUAACUACGUG
rnacentral:rRNA from 1 species